rnacentral:rRNA from 1 species
AUGGUGCGAGGCCUGCCAUGCCUUGACCAUGUGGAGCAGUUCUGCGACAUCUGCGUACUGACAAAGCAGAGACGACUCCCCUUUCCCCAACAGGCGAGUUUUCGGGCUAAGGAGAAGCUGGAGCUCGUGCACGGAGACCUGUGCGGCCCGGUGACGCCAGCCACACCAGGAGGUCGAUGCUACUUCCUGCUGCUCGUCGACGAUCUCUCCCGCUACAUGUGGGUGAUGAUCCUCGGCAGUAAGGGAGAAGCGGCGGACGCCAUCAGGCGCGCGCAGGUUGGUGUGGAGGCGGAGAGCGGCCACAAACUGCGCGUGUUGCGCACUGACAACGGCAGCGAGUUCACGGCGGCUGAAUUCGCGUCGUACUGUGCCGAUGAGGGCAUCCAGCGCCACUACUCCGCGCCAUACAGCCCGCAGCAAAACGGCAGAGGGAUGCCGGCUGUCUUCUGGGGAGAGGCGGUGCUAACGGCCGUCUACAUCCUCAACCGCUCUCCUACUAAGGCACUCGACGGCAGAACUCCGUACGAGGCCUGGCAUGGGCGGAAGCCGGCGGUCUCUCAUUUGCGGGUCUUUGGCUGCCUUGCGUUCGCCAAGGAGCUCGGCCACAUCGGCAAGCUCGACGACAGGAGCACUCCGGGAGUCUUCAUCGGCUACGCGGAGGGCUCAAAGGCCUACCGCAUCCUCGACCCAAAGACACAACGUGUGCGCACAGCGCGAGACGUCGUGUUCAACGAAGGGCAAGGGUGGCAAUGGGACAAGGCGGUGGACAACGGCUCGACACCGACGUAUGACGACUUCAUUGUCGAGUACGUCCACUUCAAGGAAGCUGGGGGAGCAAACAGCUCCUCUUCACCGGGCACGUCUACUCCGGCCCCAACUACAUCGACUCCGGCGCCUGCUACACCGACGACACCACAACCGGCGACGCCGCAUACUCCAGCCCCGGCGGUCGCCACUCCGGGCUCGUCUUCAUCAGCACCAGCUCACGCAGAGCACAACCCGAUGAAGUUCGCUUCCCUGCUCACUCACGACGAGGAGCGGGUCGACGCAUGGUAUGGAGGCGAACAGCUGCGGUAUCGCACGAUGGAUGAUCUACUCGGCGACCAGCCGGUGCCGGGACUGAUGCCACGUGACCUGGAGGCGCAGCUACAACUCGCGUGUGAGGACGGCGAACCACGGUCCUUUGCAGAGGCCGAGAGAGACGCGGCAUGGUGCACCGCGAUGCAGUUGGAGAUGGAUGCGGUCGAGCAAAACCGCACCUGGGAGCUCGCUGAUCUCCCUCGAGGUCACCGCGCAAUCACCCUUAAGUGGGUGUUCAAGCUGAAGAGGGAUGGAGCCGGCGCCAUCAUCAAGCACAAGGCUCGCUUGGUGGCCCGAGGCUUCUUGCAGCAGGAAGGAGUCGACUUCGACGACGCUUUCGCUCCCGUGGCACGGAUGGAGUCCGUGCGACUUCUCCUUGCGCUGGCUGCCCAGGAGGGCUGGCGUGUCCACCACAUGGAUGUUAAGUCGACAUUCCUCAAUGGCGACUUGAAGGAGGAAGUCUACAUGCAUCAGCCACCUGGAUUUACGAUUCCCGGCCAGGAGGGCAAGGUGCUCCGCCUGCGCAAGGCUCUCUAUGGCCUGCGGCAGGCACCCAGGGCGUGGAACGCCAAGCUGGACUCCACGCUGAAGAAGAUGGGUUUCGAGCAGAGCCCGCAUGAGGCUGCCGUCUACCGACGGGGGAGUGGAGGAAAUGCCCUGCUGGUGGGCGUCUACGUUGACGACCUGGUGAUCACCGGCACCAAAGGUGCAGAGGUGGCGGCGUUCAAGGAAGACAUGAAGGCCACGUUCCAGAUGAGUGACCUGGGGCUCCUCUCCUUCUAUCUAGGGAUUGAGCUCACUCCGAUGGAGGAGAGGCUGAAACUGAGUUGCGACAGCACGACGGAGGAAGUGGAUGCUACGUAG